rnacentral:lncRNA from 1 species
CCCAACCUUCAUUCCCGCUAUUCGAGGCUCUAGUGCUCAGUCAUAAACCUAUUGCCCGCUCCGCUUUCCCAUUCCUAUUGCUUUCGGUAUCUGAAUCUUCCUGAAUUCAAGUAGAGAAUACCAGGGCUUUCUUCUUCUUUGAUUUUCCUUGGGGCAGAGGAUAAAAAAAUGGAUUUCCGACAUAGCACCUGCGGCAUUAGGAUUCUAAGAUUUAGGAGGGGAAGGCUGAGGAGAGGGAUCACAUGCAUUGAAGCAAUCUCAAGAUUCAGAAA